rnacentral:rRNA from 1 species
AUUGAACGCUGGCGGCAGGCCUAACACAUGCAAGUCGAACGAGUGGCGGACGGGUGAGUAAUGUCUGGGAAACUGCCUGCUGGAGGGGGAUAACUACUGGAAACGGUAGCUAAUACCGCAUACCAUCGGAUGUACCCAGAUGGGAUUAGCUAGUAGGUGGGGUAAAGGCUCACCUAGUGGCAGAUCCCUCGCUGGCCUGAGCGGAUGACCAGCCACACGGGAACUGCGACACGGUCCAGACGCCUACGGGAGGCAGCAGUGGGGAUGAUUGCACAAUGGGCGCAAGCCUGAUGCAGCCAUGCCGCGUGGAUGAAGAAGGCCUUCGGGUUGUAAAGUACGUUCAGCGGGGAGGCGUUACCCGCAGAAGAAGCACCGGCUAACUCCGUGCCAGCAGCCGCGGUAAUUC